GAUCGCUCAUCAUUGUUUUCAUUUGCAACUGCCUGAUGGUGAGAAGAUGAGAGCAACAAAACCAGCUGGAUCCAUCCAUCACCAUGGGUGGUUUUAAUUUCUCGUUCUUCUCGUUAAUUUUUUUAAACAACCAUUCUUCACAAUGAACAAACUGUAUAUCGGAAACCUCCACGAGAACGCCGUCCCCUUGGACCUAGAAAGUAUCU
rnacentral:lncRNA from 10 species